AAUAAUUAUGUAUACUGUGUUAAGGGUCAAUUCAGACCGCAACGCGACGCGUAGAUGCUUUUCUUUUGUAUGGAUUCGACAGAUUUGCGAGACGUCUCAUGCUCACGAAAUCUGUCAAUUCAGUACAAUUUUAGAAAUGCAUCUAUGCGUCGCG